CCCAUCUCGGGAUCGUACCCAGAGAGUUUCCAGCACUCUGUCAGUCUCGGCUAGGGGAAGGAGAGUCAAGCAGAGGCAUACCCAUUCCAUUCCUAGCUUGGGCAGUGGCUAGCGAGUGGAAGGCAAUCUGCUACAAGU